rnacentral:rRNA from 1 species
AGUGAACGCUGGCGGUAGGCCUAACACAUGCAAGUCGAACGGCAGCACAGUAAGAGCUUGCUCUUACGGGUGGCGAGUGGCGGACGGGUGAGGAAUACAUCGGAAUCUACUUUUUCGUGGGGGAUAACGUAGGGAAACUUACGCUAAUACCGCAUACGACCUACGGGUGAAUGCAGGGGAACUUCGGACCUUGCGCGAUUGAAUGAGCCGAUGUCGGAUUAGCUAGUUGGCGGGGUAAAGGCCCACCAAGGCGACGAUCCGUAGCUGGUCUGAGAGGAUGAUCAGCCACACUGGAACUGAGACACGGUCCAGACUCCUACGGGAGGCAGCAGUGGGGAAUAUUGGACAAUGGGCGCAAGCCUGAUCCAGCCAUACCGCGUGGGUGAAGAAGGCCUUCGGGUUGUAAAGCCCUUUUGUUGGGAAAGAAAAGCAGCAGGUUAAUACCCCGCUGUUCUGACGGUACCCAAAGAAUAAGCACCGGCUAACUUCGUG